UACUCUGGCGCGCGUCGUUCACCCCGGCGGUACCUAUUCUGACGCGUAUGGAAGGUUGCCUUCAUGUUCCUCACGCAAGGGCAGGUGCCGCUCAGGGGGUGCCUCACUACUACAUCUACGUCCACGCGCUAUCGGCCAAUUUCACCUUCGAAUCAAUCUUCUCCCAACGCCAAAUACCUAGUAAGAUUGAGUAUACUGCAAUAGAGACAAUGAAGGCAGAUGGGUUUUUGCAGACUCAGACUCAAGUUUGAUUGAUUGCUAUUUGCUACCAACAAAAAAUAGGUCUCGACAAGAAAGUUUUAUUGUACUUCAGAUUUGUAUAUAUGAUCAACAUCUCUGUGUGCAGUAUGCUUGAGAAUAGCUUUAAGGCUGAGUAACAAGGGCCAGUCUACAAACUUUCACAGCCUGAAGUUUAUGAACAGUUAAUACACAUCGGUUCUAACUUCUGUGUUUGUUCAUCAUUUUUAAUGCAGCAACACCAAUGAGCCCCUUCUCAGCACAAUGACAUUGUUUACAUGACAACUAGAUUUAUAUACUCUCCAUAGUAGCUGCUCUUGACAGAAAAGAAAGCAACAGAAGUGCCAUUCAUACAUGUCAAAAGAUUAAUUUGCAGCAAUAAAUUAUAAUUCCACAGGUCUGAAUUGUGUGUACAUACAUACAUGUAAAAAAAUAAUUUGCAAGGACAGGUAAUAAUUCCACAUGUCCGACUUGACAAAGUACGUCAAAAGGCAACGUCUAAGUAAUAUGUUGAUACACAAAGCACUGAUCCUUAGAGACUUCAUCCAACGAGAUAGAAGGUUACAUGUGCGUUGUUACUAUCUCACGCCAACUCAGACCUCUACUGGAUAACGUUGCACACCAUGCGACUAGACAGACACUAAAUUUGGGUACCUCUACAAAGCACUUAAUUUAUUGUGCCUCUUUCGAAAAAGGCCAGUUGCGAGCAACAUAUGGGUUGUUCUCGUGAAGGAAGUUGAACACCUCGUCCAACAGCUGCAACAGAAAAGCUCAAGGUCAAAUUUCAAAAAAAGAACGUGGGCAUGAGCGUGCGCAAUACACUAGUGUUGGGACCAUGCUUCGUCGCCGAAGGUCCUGCAAAAAGAAACAGCUUCGGCUGAAGCUGCUUGAACAUGAUGCCGAAGACACCGUUCACGAAGCUUCGGAGCUACAACAUAUCCGAAGACGAAGGGUCGAACCGACUUAAAGAUAGAAUGACCAUUUAGCCCAUAAGGGUCUGAGUCAUUGUUGUAAACUUUUAUGAGGGGCAUAAUUGUAAUUCCUCAUGAGUUGUGUCCUGUGCCUAUAAAUAGUGAACAGUAUUCCUUUACUGUUCACGGAUUCCUGUAAUUGCCAACGCAUCACUCGGGAAUUAUUGUUUGUCAAGGCAAAGGUAUAAAUGUACCUAAACAUUGUG
rnacentral:lncRNA from 7 species